AUGACUUGCAGAAGGUCCGAGAGGCUAAGAUCAGCCUCAAACCAAGCAGGGUCCAAUCUAGCUGCAACGCCAUCCUUGCUCCCUGUGGCUGCCACGAUCCUUGCCGUCGGGGAUAGCCGUCAGUGCAGGAGCCUUGACCAAGCUCAACUCCGCGGUAUCCCAUUGGAAGUCGACGAGCGCAUGGAAGAAUUCCUCAUCGGAGGGAAGAUUGCACGGCUCUUGAGAAGGCUUAAAGCAGUUCUUGCACAAGAGAAACGCCACCAAAGCAUAUGCCUCGGUCUCAUUCGACAAACCGCACGCACGCACGCGCGGGCAGAGUCGAAUUCCGCCACUUGUCCCCCCAUCGUCGAAGAAGAAGAAGGAAGCAAUGGAAGCCGAGAGCUCGACCGCCGGCGCGGCGCGGCGGCGCCGCCGCUCUCCUCCGGCAACUUCCGAGAACUCUUCGACUCCGUGGACGCCUUCCUCUUCGACUGCGAGGGUGUCAUCUGGAAGGAGACAAGCUCAUCGACGGCGUUUCUCAGACUCUCGACUUGCUCCGAUCCAAAGGGAAGAAGCUGGUGUUCGUGACGAACAACUCGAGGAAGUCGAGGAGGGAGAACGCCAAAAAUUCGGUUCUCUCGGGAUUUCCGUGAGCGAGGAUGAGAUCUUCUCGUCGUCGUUCGCGGCCGCCAUGUAUCUGAAGGUCAAUGAUUUUCCUCAAGACAAGAAGGUUUAUGUGAUUGGUGGCGAAGGCAUUAUAGAGGAACUCCAGCUUGCUGGAUAUACUGGCCUUGGAGGUCCGGAAGAUGGCAAAAAGACAGCGGAGUGGAAAUCAAAUUGCCUUUUUGAACAUGACAAGAGUGUUGGAGCAGUCGUGGUUGGGCUUGACCCCUUCAUCAACUACUACAAGCUUCAGUAUGGAACUCUCUGCAUCCGUGAGAAUCCAGGAUGCCUUUUUAUUGCGACAAAUCGAGAUGCAGUAGCGCACAUGACUGAUUUACAAGAAUGGCCUGGUGCUGGGUGUAUGGUUGCAGCCAUCUGCAGUUCAACUCAGAAGGAGCCUAUAGUGGUUGGGAAGCCAUCAACCUUCAUGAUGGAGUUUUUACUAAAGAAGUUCCAAAUUGAUUGUCCCAGGAUGUGCAUGGUGGGUGAUCGAUUGGACUCCGAUAUCUUAUUUGGGCAGAAUGCUGGCUGCAAGACUCUGCUUGUUCUUUCAGGUGUGACAACUCUAUCUGCUCUUCAAGACCCGGCAAAUGAUAUUCAGCCGGAUUAUUACACAAACAAGGUGUCCGACUUUCUCGAUCUAUUAGGAGCGUGACCCUAUCAGGCGUGAUAGUCUUUCUGGCAUGUCAGACUUUCUUUGCCUGAUUAUCUAAGUCCAUCCUUUCUCCCUUUGGCUAUUGUGAAACACAGAAUACUGGCAUGAACAGCUUUCAGCUGUAUUUCUUUUUCCUUUUCUUCAAUAACCAAGUCCGGAAACAAAUUCGGUGAACUGAGAUAAAUAGAAAAUCACAUGAAAAAUGCACCGCGAAAUCUAAUUUGUA